rnacentral:rRNA from 1 species
GACGAACGCUGGCGGCGUGCUUAACACAUGCAAGUCGAACGGAAAGGCCCUGCUUUUGCGGGGUGCUCGUGUGGCGCAAGGGUGAGUAACACGUGAGUAACCUGCCCUUGACUUUGGGAUAACUUCAGGAAACUGGGGCUAAUACCGGAUAGGAGAUCCUGCUGCAUGGUGGGGGUUGGAAAGAUUCGGCGGUUGGGGCUGGACUCGCGGCUUUUCCGCUUGUUGGUGGGGUAGUGGCUUACCAAGGCUUUGACGGGUAGCCGGCCUUAGCGGGUGACCGGCCACAUUGGGACUGAGGUACGACCCAGACGCGUACGUGAGGCAGCAGUGGGAAAUAUGGCACAAUGGGCGGAAGCCUGAUGCAGCAACACCGCGUUCGGGAUGACGUCCUUCGGGUGGUAAACCGCUUUCGCCGGUAACGAGGCGUGAUUGACGGUAAUGGGUAAGAAAGCACCGGCUAACUACGUG